rnacentral:rRNA from 1 species
AAUCAACGCUGGCGGCGUGCCUAACACAUGCAAGUCGAGCGAGAAAGGGUAGCAAUACCUGAGUACAGCGGCGCACGGGUGAGUAACACGUGGAUAACCUGCCUCGAAGUGGGGGAUAACACCGGGAAACCGGUGCUAAUACCGCAUAAUCUGACGAGAUCUGAGGAUUUUGUCAGCAAAGGAGCAAUUCGCUUUGAGAGGGGUCCGCGGCUGAUUAGCUAGUUGGUGAGGUAAUGGCUCACCAAGGCAACGAUCAGUAGCCGGUCUGAGAGGACGGUCGGCCACACUGGAACUGAGACACGGUCCAGACUCCUACGGGAGGCUG